rnacentral:rRNA from 1 species
UGCCUAACACAUGCAAGUCGAACGAACCCUUCGGGGUUAGUGGCGCACGGGUGCGUAACGCGUGGGUAACCUGCCUUUAGGUUCGGAAUAACUCAGAGAAAUUUGAGCUAAUACCGGAUAAUGUCUUCGGACCAAAUAUUUAUCGCCUUUAGAUGGGCCCGCGUUAGAUUAGAUAGUUGGUGGGGUAAUGGCCUACCAAGUCGACGAUCUAUAGCUGGUCUGAGAGGAUGAUCAGCCACACUGGGACUGAGACACGGCCCAGACUCCUACGGGAGGCAGCAGUGGGGAAUAUUGGACAAU